GUCAUGGUCUGGUUGGGCACCUGCAGGUCUCAGACAGCGGCUCCUCCUCCUUUAGGCGGAGUCCGGUUGCCCCUCCCGGGCUGACCACCUGUGAGCAAUCGUGCCAGCGGUAUAUCAGACCUGCGCUCUCAACCCCUCAUCGCCUGAGUAUCUGCUAUUCCCAUGUUAGUUCUGUGGAGCAUCCUAAACCUUGUCUUAACGCCGUGUGAUGACUCACCUGUCCUUUCUUGUCCUCAGUGAUAGCACCCGGAGUGGAGAUCUUGUUCCCCUCGCUCCCAUCCUCCUGGACCGGGGCCGCCAGCUGCUUACACAACGUGGCCUGCCGGCCCACCGCUCACCUGCCUGCCUCCCCACGCCUCGACCGCUUCCGGAUUUUCCGCCCCACCUGUCCCCUCCAUCUGAAACCAAUGCCCCCGGCCCCUGCCUAGUCCUGUUUCUACCUCCCCGCUGUCCCCGCUGUCAGCUGUCUCCUAGAGGUGUCUAGGUCGCCCUCAUUAUCCCUGACGAACCCUACGCGCCACUAGUGUGGUGGCGUCGCUUUAUGUUUUACCUUUGUUUACCUGUGGGCGGAAUAAA